UACGGAGGGGGCUAGCGUUGUUCGGAAUUACUGGGCGUAAAGCGUACGUAGGCGGCUUUGUAAGUUAGAGGUGAAAGCCCGGGGCUCAACUCCGGAAUUGCCUUUAAGACUGCAUCGCUUGAAUCAUGGAGAGGUGAGUGGAAUUCCGAGUGUAGAGGUGAAAUUCGUAGAUAUCGGAAGGAACAUCAGUGGCGAAAGCGACUUCCUGGACCAGUACCGACGUUCAGGCACGAAAGCGUGGGGAGCAAACAGG
rnacentral:rRNA from 1 species